UCUUCUGCAUCGUGUGUGUGUCUGCGUGUGUCUGCGUGUGUCUGCGUGUGUCUGCGCAGAGUGACUUUUUCUUCAUUCAAACUGUUUAUUGAUUUAAGGUACAUUUGAAUUGUUUCGUACAGUCUCACAAGUCUUUUGGACAUUGUCUCUACAAAAGCAGCCUUCACAAGAUUCCCUGCUAUGACUCACAAGUUGUUGGUCUGUCUGCCAAUCAAUAUUUUAAUGUGCUGCAUGUAAAUAAGUUGCAAGGCAGGAAAAAUAAAGAAGACGUCCGACCAAAGUUACAGUAUAUUAGAGAACAACUAGUACGUGUGCGUCAGAUCAAACAAUGUUAGCAGUGAAGUAUUCCAGUAGUGACACGUGAAUUGUUAUUCAAGGUAAUAUCAUCAAAGCAAACCGCAAAGAAAUGUAUCAAUAAUCUGUGAGUGUUUGUGCAUGUGUGUGGGUUUCCUUUUGUGCUUUUAUCUUGUUAGAAACAGUUACAGACCUCUCCUUAUCUCUUGAAGGGACUUGUUGACAGGAAUGACUUGGCUUUAACGUUGUAAGGUAGGAAGUCAGUUUAGGUUAGGGCCCUGUGAGGACUUCCCCUACAGUACCAAAACCUGCCCCCCCGCCACAGAAGCAGAUCAUUGUAGCAGCGCCCCGUAAAUCCAAUAACACGUCCCGUAACGGGGGGGACUCUGAAAUCGUGGAGCUCCACCAGCAGCUGCAGGACCUGAAGCUGACUAUAGACGGACUGGAGAAGGAGAGAGACUUCUACUUCGGAAAGCUGAGAGACAUUGAGGUCCUCUGCCAGGACAGCGAAAGUGAAAACCCAAUCUUCAACAAAAUCAUGGAUGUGCUUUACAGUACAGAGGUAAACACAUUCAAAUCACAGGACACAAGAUUUA